AACGAACGCUGGCGGCAUGCCUAACACAUGCAAGUCGAACGAGAUCUUCGGGUCUAGGGGCGCACGGGUGCGUAACGCGUGGGAAUCUGCCCUUUGGUUCGGAAUAACAGUUGGAAACGACUGCUUAUACCGGAUGAUGACGAAAGUCCAAAGAUUUAUCGCGAGAGGAUGAGCCCGCGGAGGAUUAGCUAGGUGGUGUGGUAAAGGCGCGCCAAGGCGACGAUCCUUAGCUGGUCUGAGAGGAUGAUCAGCCACACUGGGACUGAGACACGGCCCAGACUCCUACGGGAGGCAGCCGUGGGGAAUAUUGGACAAUGGGCGAAAGCCUGAUCCAGCAAUGCCGCGUGAGUGAUGAAGGCCUUAGGGUUGUAAAGCUCUUUUACCCGGGAUGAUAAUGACAGUACCGGGAGAAUAAGCUCCGGCUAACUCCGUGCCAGCCGCCGCCGUAA
rnacentral:rRNA from 1 species